rnacentral:rRNA from 1 species
UACGAAGGGUGCAAACGUUGCUCGGAAUUAUUGGGCGUAAAGCGCACGUAGGCGGCAUUGCAAGUCGGAUGUGAAAUCUUAUGGCUUAACCAUAAAAGUGCAUCCGAAACUGCAGUGCUUGAGUACUUAAGAGGAUCGCGGAAUUCCCGGUGUAGAGGUGAAAUUCGUAGAUAUCGGGAGGAACACCGGUGGCGAAGGCGGUGAUCUGGGCCGACACUGACGCUGUAGAGCGAAAGCGUGGGGAGCGAACAGG